rnacentral:lncRNA from 1 species
AAACAUUAUUCUGGGAGUACAUGAACUUGGUGGGAAAAAGAUAUUGUACGGACUACGGACAAAAAGAUGGUGUAUCAGCAGUACAUAGUCCUGCUGCUCCUGCUACUUCCAUACUGAUUUCAUCUGGGGGGGAUGGAGGAAAAGGUGUAAGUUAAGGAUAAAAAGGCAUGGAAACAUUGAGUUUUCUCUCAAAUUGCGCCAAACAAUAUAAGAAAUAAAAAGGCUGUAACUUAUUUCCUUGCAAUAGAACAACAGAUUUUGUCGUGAUGAACAAAUGAAUUUAAAUGUAACAUUUAUAGCUCUAUUGUAAUUGCUGUGCAAAUUAGCAACAAUAGUAGGGCUCUUGGUUAGUGAGAAGAAGAAAUAAGUGACAAGAGGUGAGAGUAUUGCACCUUACACAUUUGAUCGAAUUGUAUCUAUAGACAGGUCGAUGUGAAAAAUAUGUCCAUUCAAGUAAAGGAAGAGAGUGUCAGCAAAGUUCCAAGUGUGCAGCACCAGUUUGUGAUAG